UACAGAGGUCUCAAGCGUUGUUCGGAUUUAUUGGGCGUAAAGGGCGCGUAGGCGGCGGGGUAAGUCGGGUGUGAAAUCUCAGGGCUCAACCCUGAAACUGCACUUGAUACUGCUCUGCUUGAGGACUGGAGAGGAGACUGGAAUUCACGGUGUAGCAGUGAUAUGCGUAGAUAUCGUGAGGAAGACCAGUGGCGAAGGCGGGUCUCUGGACAGUUCCUGACGCUGAGGCGCGAAGGCCAGGGGAGCAAACGGG
rnacentral:rRNA from 1 species